UGCAGACACACUUCAAAUCUGGGCAGCACUCUCCUCAAUCAUUCUCUCUGUAAUGUUAGUUUUUACCAUUUCAGCAAGGAAGAAGAAGCGAGAAAGAAAUGGCUUCGAGUACUUAUAGAAAUGGCACUCCAAAGGGAGCAUCAAAACCUAUUGCUUCAAAUCUCAAAUCAUCCUCUUUUAAAUCCAGAAUCCAUCCGUCACACUCAUCGGGAGCCGUCCUUCGACGCAAUUCCUUCAGUCCGAACGCCAACGCUGUGGGAGAUGAUGGAGUACCUGGAAGAGUACGAGUAGCAGUAAGAUUGCGGCCGCGAAAUGCGGAAGAAUUGGUGGCAGAUGCUGAUUUUGCUGAUUGUGUGGAAUUGCAGCCAGAGCUUAAGAGGUUGAAACUAAGAAAAAACAAUUGGGACUCGGACACUUAUGAGUUUGACGAGGUGCUUACUGAAUUUGCAUCGCAGAAGCGUGUUUAUGAAGUUGUUGCUAAGCCUGUUGUAAGAGAGUGUUCUGGAUGGUUACAACGGCACUGUGAUGGCAUAUGGUCAGACUGGUACUGGCAAAACUUUUACUGUGGGGUACCUUGGAGAUGAUGAUACAUCAGCUCGCGGGAUCAUGGUUCGUGCAAUGGAGGACAUUUUAGCAGAUGUUUCUCUGGA
rnacentral:misc_RNA from 1 species